rnacentral:tRNA from 1 species
GGGCCUGUAGCUCAGCUUGGACAGAGCGGUUGCCUUCUAAGCAAAAGGUCGUGGGUUCGAAUCCCAUCAGGCCCG